rnacentral:rRNA from 1 species
GACGAACGCUGGCGGUAUGCUUAACACAUGCAAGUCGAACGAGAAGUCUUUUAUUGACCCUUCGGGGGAUAUAAGAGACAGACAGUGGCGAACGGGUGAGUAACGCGUGGGCAACCUACCUAUCGGAGCGGGAUAGCCUCGAGAAAUCGGGAGUAAAACCGCAUAACACGGAUAUAUCGCAUGAUGAAUCCGUCAAAACUCCGGUGCCGAUAGAUGGGCCCGCGUCUGAUUAGCUAGUUGGUAAGGUAAGGGCUUACCAAGGCAACGAUCAGUAGCCGGUCUGAGAGGGCGAACGGCCACACUGGAAACUGAGACACGGUCCAGACUUCCUACGGGAGGCAGCAGUGGGGAAUAUUGCGCAAUGGGGGCAAACCCUGACGCAGCAAUUACCGCGUG